AAUAAGUGUAGUUUUGUACUAUUCACGUUCAACGUUUGACCGUUUGUCUUUUUUGAAAAAUUUUUAUGAGUAGUAUUUUUAUUGCUAUUAGAUGAUAAAACAUGAAUAAUAUUUUUUAUGUGACUAAAUAUUUUCAAAUUUUUCGUAAAUUUUUCAAAUAAGAUGGACGGUCAAACGUUAAACACGAAUAUCCAUGGCUGCACUUAUU
rfam:Oryza nivara chromosome 3, whole genome shotgun sequence.